GGAUAUGAGGGCAGUCUGGCUGUGGUAUCUUUCAUCCAGUUGAUCACUGUGGUUGAUUUGUCUGACCUGGCUGGCUAGAUGGGUGUCCACAGCCUCCUUCACCUCUCUGUGAUAUCCUUCUCCAUGUGGCGUGCUCAGCUAAAGAGGACAACCUUCCCUGAGAGGGAGAGCCAGUCUUCCAUCAGGGUCAAGGAUGUACAAGCAGCUGCCUGCUCCUGAUCGAGCCCCCAAAUGCGCUGUGAAGGAGAGCUUCCGCAGCACAGCCCUGUAGCCCCACAGGACAUGUUCUUUGUCUCUGGACUGCUCUUGUCAGCAGUCUUUUCUG
rfam:Rattus norvegicus chromosome 5, whole genome shotgun sequence.